AUGGCGGAUGACACCGGUGCAGCAGGAGGGCCUGGAGGCCCCGGGGGCCCUGGAAUGGGAGGCCGUGGUGGUUUCCGUGGAGGCUUUAGCAGUGGCAUUCGAGGCCAUGGUUGCAGCCAUGGUCGGGGUCAGGGCGGAGGCCAUGGAGCUCUCGGAGGCAAGGCCAAGGACAAAGAGUGGAUGCCCAUCACCAAGCUGGGUCUACUAGUCAAGGACAUGAAGAUCAAAUACCUGGAGGAAAUCUAUCUUUUCUCCCUGCCCAUUAAGGGAUCUGAGGUCAUUGAUUUUUUUCUUGGGGGCAUCUCUCAAGGAUGAGGUUUUGAAGAUUAUGCCAGUGCAAAAACAGACCCGCACUGGCCAGCAGACCAGGUUCAAGGCGUUUGUUGCCAUUGGGGACUAUAGUGGCCAUGUCAGCCUGGGUGUUAAGUGUUCCAAGGAAGUAGCCACUGCCAUCCAAGGGAUCAUCAUCCUGGCCAAGCUCUCUAUUGUCCCAGUACCGAGAGGCUACUGGGGAAAUAAGAUCAGCAAGCCUCACACUGUUCCUUGCAAGGUGACAGGCCUCUGUGGCUCUAUGCUGGUACGUCUCAUCCCUGCUCCUAGAGGAACUGGCAUUGUCUCAGUGCCUGUGCCUAAGAAGCUGCUAAUGAUGGCUGGUACCGAUGACUGCUACACUUCAGCCAGGGGCUGCACUGCCACCCUGGGCAACUUUGCCAACGCCACUUUUGAUGCCAUUUCCAAGACCUAUAGCUAUGUCACUCCUGAUCUCUGGAAAGAGACAGUGUUGACCAAGUCUCCUUACCAAGAAUUCACUGACCAUCUUGUUAAGACCCACACCAGACUCUCUGUGCAGAGGACCCAGGCUCCAGCUAUGGCUACAUCAUAGGGUUUUUAUACAA